UGAACAUUGAGCCUUGAUGUGUAGGAUAGGUGGGAGGCUUUGAAGUGUGGACGCCAGUCUGCAUGGAGCCAACCUUGAAAUACCACCCUUUAAUGUUUGAUGUUCUAACGUAGCCCCAUAAUCUGGGGUGCGGACAGUGUCUGGUGGGUAGUUUGACUGGGGCGGUCUCCUCCCAAAGCGUAACGGAGGAGCACGAAGGUUGGCUAAGCAUGGUCGGACAUCAUGCGGUUAGUGC
rnacentral:rRNA from 1 species